rnacentral:rRNA from 1 species
AACGAACGCUGGCGGCAUGCCUAACACAUGCAAGUCGAACGAGACCUUCGGGUCUAGUGGCGCACGGGUGCGUAACGCGUGGGAAUCUGCCCUUGGGUUCGGAAUAACAGUGAGAAAUUACUGCUAAUACCGGAUGAUGUCUUCGGACCAAAGAUUUAUCGCCCAGGGAUGAGCCCGCGUAGGAUUAGCUAGUUGGUGGGGUAAUGGCCUACCAAGGCGACGAUCCUUAGCUGGUAUGAGAGGAUGAUCAGCCACACUGGGACUGAGACACGGCCCAGACUCCUACGGGAGGCAGCAGUGGGGAAUAUAGGACAAUGGGCGCAAGCCUGAUCCAGCAAUGCCGCGUGAGUGAUGAAGGCCUUAGGGUUGUAAAGCUCUUUUACCCGGGAUGAUAAUGACAGUACCGGGAGAAUAAGCACCGGCUAACUCCGUG